UACGGGGGGGGGCAAGCGUUGUUCGGAAUUACUGGGCGUAAAGGGCUCGUAGGCGGCCAACUAAGUCAGACGUGAAAUCCCUCGGCUUAACCGGGGAACUGCGUCUGAUACUGGAUGGCUUGAGUGUGGGAGAGGGAUGCGGAAUUCCAGGUGUAGCGGUGAAAUGCGUAGAUAUCGAGAGGAACACCUGCGGCGAAGGCGGGUUGCUGGGCCGACACUGACGCUGAUGCGCGAAAGCCAGGGGAGCGAACGGG
rnacentral:rRNA from 1 species